UACGUAGGGUGCGAGCGUUAAUCGGAAUUACUGGGCGUAAAGCGUGCGCAGGCGGUUUUGUAAGCCAGAUGUGAAAUCCCCGGGCUUAACCUGGGAAUGGCAUUUGGGACUGCAAGGCUGGAGUUUGGCAGAGGAGACUGGAAUUCCCGGUGUAGCAGUGAAAUGCGUAGAUAUCGGGAGGAAUACCGAUGGCGAAGGCAGGUCUCUGGGCCAUUACUGACACUGAGAAGCGAAAGCAUGGGGAGCGAACAGG
rnacentral:rRNA from 1 species